UACGAAGGGGGCUAGCGUUGCUCGGAAUUACUGGGCGUAAAGCGCACGUAGGCGGUCUUUUAAGUCGGGGGUGAAAUCCUGGAGCUCAACUCCAGAACUGCCUUCGAUACUGAGAAGCUCGAGUCCGGGAGAGGUGAGUGGAACUGCGAGUGUAGAGGUGAAAUUCGUAGAUAUUCGCAAGAACACCAGUGGCGAAGGCGGCUCACUGGCCCGGUACUGACGCUGAGGUGCGAAAGCGUGGGGAGCAAACAGG
rnacentral:rRNA from 1 species